rnacentral:misc_RNA from 1 species
GGCUCUUAUAAGAUUGCCUACCCCAAUGGUGGUGAUCUACUGCAUGCAUGGAAUAUCUAUAAUUUACACAAAUUUUAUCAAUAAAGACUUCUGCUUAUUUGAUAUGACUAAACACUAAGGUGAUCUUUUGCCCAUAAAGUGACCUAAUGUGGCAAUAAGGCAAUAUCUCGCCCAUAAAAUGCCUUAACGUGGCAAUAAGGCAAUUUGUCAUCCAUGAAAUGCCCUAACGUGGCAAUAAAGCAGUCUCCUGCCCACAAAAUGCCCUAACGUGGCAAUGAGGCGAUCUCU